UAGCACAGCAACCUCUUUGCUAUGGAGGGACAGAUUCUGCUCACAGGGCAGUGUCUUUGGAGCCACCUUGCACUAACAGCAGUGUAAUUGGCAGCUUGUUUUGGCUCUUUGUAGCAGGUGUCCCCAGGGCUGCCCACUGCCACUGAGACAGGUUGGAAGGACUUUGCACCUACAGCUCUGCCUGGCCUGGUAUUUCCCACUGCUCCAGUGCUGGACACUUAUGGCUGCACAGGACCAGAGACACAACAGGCACAUCCAUGGUUGCCUUCUCAAUUUUCUUGCUCUUGAAGCAGAAACAGAAGAGGAGCCCCAGCCUACAGCCUUGCAUGUGGGCAUCCUACACAGCCUGACGGGUGGAAAAUGCUGCCGGAUUCCAAAAAAACACAGUGCUGUUACAUCAUUUCUCUAGUGCUGGAAUAACAACAGAGGCUGCCUUAGGGCAGGAAAGGCCAGGUGUCUGCGCUGAGCCUCUCAGAUCUGCUGCCCAUCUUUGAUGCUGCUGGCACGAGAGAUUUGGGGCCAAGCAGAGCUGUUUUGUCUUCACUGAGCCAGACCCUCCAGCUUCUCAACAGCCAACCAAGAUGCAUCUGGCCUUCAAGACCAUAUGAAUCUUUUCCAGCCAGCUUUUUCCAGUGCACAGUGUGCGCUGUUCCUGGUAACAUCUCACUCCAGCCACAUUAGCCCUAGAAGAGCUUU